UACGUAGGGUGCAAGCGUUAAUCGGAAUUACUGGGCGUAAAGAGCGUGUAGGCGGCCAGACAAGUCUGCUGUGAAAACUCGAGGCUCAACCUCGAGCUGUCGGUGGAAACUGUCUGGCUAGAGUCCGGAAGAGGAGAGUGGAAUUCCUGGUGUAGCGGUGAAAUGCGCAGAUAUCAGGAAGAACACCUAUGGCGAAGGCAGCUCUCUGGGACGGUACUGACGCUGAGACGCGAAAGCGUGGGGAGCGAACAGG
rnacentral:rRNA from 1 species